rnacentral:rRNA from 1 species
AAGCCUGUGAAGGUGAGUUGAGAAGCUUGCUGGAGGUAUCAGAAGUGCGAAUGCUGACAUGAGUAACGAUAAUGGGUGUGAAAAACACCCACGCCGAAAGACCAAGGUUUCCUGCGCAACGUUAAUCGACGCAGGGUUAGUCGGUCCCUAAGGCGAGGCUGAAAAGCGUAGUCGAUGGAAAACAGGUUAAUAUUCCUGUACUUCUGGUUAUUGCGAUGGAGGGACGGAGAAGGCUAGGCCAGCUUGGCGUUGGUUGUCCAAGUUUAAGGUGGUAGGCUGGAAUCUUAGGUAAAUCCGGGAUUCUAAGGCCGAGAGCNNGAAGUGGUUGAUGCCAUGCUUCCAAGAAAAGCUUCUAAGCUUCAGGUAACCAGGAACCGUACCCCAAACCGACACAGGUGGUUGGGUAGAGAAUACCAAGGCGCUUGAGAGAACUCGGGUGAAGGAACUAGGCAAAAUGGCACCGUAACUUCGGGAGAAGGUGCGCCGGUGAGGGUGAAGCAUUUACUGCGUAAGCUCAUGCCGGUCGAAGAUACCAGGCCGCUGCGACUGUUUAUUAAAAACACAGCACUCUGCAAACACGAAAGUGGACGUAUAGGGUGUGACGCCUGCCCGGUGCCGGAAGGUUAAUUGAUGGGGUUAGCUAACGCGAAGCUCUUGAUCGAAGCCCCGGUAAACGGCGGCCGUAACUAUAACGGUCCUAAGGUAGCGAAAUUCCUUGUCGGGUAAGUUCCGACCUGCACGAAUGGCGUAACGAUGGCGGCGCUGUCUCCACCCGAGACUCAGUGAAAUUGAAAUCGCUGUGAAGAUGCAGUGUAUCCGCGGCUAGACGGAAAGACCCCGUGAACCUUUACUAUAGCUUUGCACUGGACUUUGAAUUUGCUUGUGUAGGAUAGGUGGGAGGCUUUGAAGCGUGGACGCCAGUUCGCGUGGAGCCAUCCUUGAAAUACCACCCUGGCAACUUUGAGGUUCUAACUCAGGUCCGUUAUCCGGAUCGAGGACAGUGUAUGGUGGGUAGUUUGACUGGGGCGGUCUCCUCCUAAAGAGUAACGGAGGAGUACGAAGGUGCGCUCAGACCGGUCGGAAAUCGGUCGUAGAGUAUAAAGGCAAAAGCGCGCUUGACUGCGAGACAGACACGUCGAGCAGGUACGAAAGUAGGUCUUAGUGAUCCGGUGGUUCUGUAUGGAAGGGCCAUCGCUCAACGGAUAAAAGGUACUCCGGGGAUAACAGGCUGAUACCGCCCAAGAGUUCAUAUCGACGGCGGUGUUUGGCACCUCGAUGUCGGCUCAUCACAUCCUGGGGCUGAAGCCGGUCCCAAGGGUAUGGCUGUUCGCCAUUUAAAGUGGUACGCGAGCUGGGUUUAGAACGUCGUGAGACAGUUCGGUCCCUAUCUGCCGUGGACGUUUGAGAUUUGAGAGGGGCUGCUCCUAGUACGAGAGGACCGGAGUGGACGAACCUCUGGUGUUCCGGUUGUCACGCCAGUGGCAUUGCCGGGUAGCUAUGUUCGGGAAAGAUAACCGCUGAAAGCAUCUAAGCGGGAAACUUGCCUCAAGAUGAGAUCUCACUGGAACCUUGAGUUCCCUAAAGGGCCGUCGAAGACUACGACGUUGAUAGGUUGGGUGUGUAAGCGCUGUGAGGCGUUGAGCUAACCAAUACUAAUUGCCCGUGAGGCUUGACCAU